CAAAUCCAGUUGCUUUGUUUUUUUAACUUUUUUUUGAAUGACCAUGACCUGGAUGACUGAGAAUCUUCACCAAUGAUGAUUUAAAUUGACUGAUCAAAGAUUACUGGUGUAAAAUACUGAAAUAUUUCAGAUGAGUCUCAACAGCUCAUAAACUUAAACAAAGAACUUGAACACUUCAUUAUGAGGGAGAGGCCUCAUCGCCCAGCAGAAGGUUCUGUUUACGCCAAUUUUAAUCCAGGACAGGGGAGUCCUGCAGCAACAUAUGCAGCUGUGUAGGCUGGAGGCUGUGAUGGUUUAUUCUGCUGU